UUUUAUAGUUCGUUCUUAUGUUGCACUGUAAUACCACUGUCCCAGGUUAGGGGAGGGUUGGGAUCCCGCUAACAUGUUUAACCCCGCCACAUUAUUUAUGUAUGUGCCUGUCCCAAGUCAGGAGCCUGUAAUUCAGUGGUUGUCGUUUGUUUAUGUGUUACAUAUUUGUUUUUCGUUCAUUUUUUUUUUUACAUAAAUAAAGCCAGUAGUUUU
rnacentral:lncRNA from 1 species